CGAGGCCAGGGGGCCAGGGCCGGGGGCUGAGCCAGCUCAGGCUCCUCCCGCCCGCCCGAGCCGCGAGCGCCGCCGCGCCCCGCCCUGCCCGGGUCGCCUGUGCUCAGUCCCGCGCUCGCUCGGUCAUGGGCGCCGCCGGCUCCUCGGCUCUGGCCCGCCUCGGCCUCCCCGCGCCGCCCCGGUCCCGCUGGCUGGGGGUGGCCGCGCUGGGACUGGCCGCCGUGGCGCUGGGGGCCGUGGCCUGGCGCCGCGCGAGGCCCCGGCGGCGCGGGCGGCUGCAGCAGGUGGGCACCGUGGCGCAGCUCUGGAUCUACCCGGUCAAGUCCUGCAGGGGGGUGCCGGUGAGCGCGGCCGAGUGCACGGCCAUGGGGCUGCGCAGCGGCCACCUGCGGGACAGGUUUUGGUUGGUGAUUAAGGAAGAUGGACACAUGGUCACUGCCCGGCAGGAGCCCCGCCUCAUGCUGGUCUCCAUCACCUAUGAGGACGAUCGCCUGAUCCUCAGGGCUCCGGACAUGGACCAGCUGGUUCUGCCGAGCAAGCAACCUUCCUCAAACACUCUCCAUGACUGCAGGCUAUUUGGUCUUGACAUCAAGGGCAGAGACUGUGGCGAUGAGGCAGCGCAGUGGUUCACCAACUUCUUGAAAACAGAAGCUUUCAGGCUGGUUCAGUUUGAAAAGAACAUGAAGGGAAGAUCAUCAAGGGAAAUUUUCCCUCCUUUUGUACAGAAUUACCAGGUGGCUUACCCGGACGCCAGCCCCCUCCUGGUCCUCUCGGAAGCCUCCCUGGCAGAUCUGAAUACCAGGCUGGAGAAGAAAGUGAAGAUGGACAAUUUCAGGCCAAAUAUCGUGGUGACGGGCUGUGAUGCUUUUGAGGAGGAUACCUGGGAUGAACUCCUAAUUGGCAACGUAGAAAUGAAAAAGGUUUUGGCUUGUUCCAGGUGCAUUUUGACCACCGUAGACCCGGAUACUGGAGUGAUAGACAGGAAGGAGCCACUGGAAACCCUGAAGAGCUACCGCCUGUGUGAUCCUUCUGAGAAGGAAAUACACAAGUCGUCCCCCCUUUUUGGGAUCUAUUAUUCGGUGGAAAAAACUGGAAGCCUGAAAGUGGGUGACCCCGUGUAUCGGAUGGUAGAGUGACGGAUCCACUAUGCUGACGUGGUAAAAGAAUGCUGAUGCAGGAGCCUCAGCAGAAAGACAAGUUUAUGUUCCCAGCUCAUUAGGGAAGAUCUUUAAGGAAUAAGGAAAUGAUGGUUUCAGCAUCCUGGAGGUAUUGAUGAGGAUUUUGACGACAGCAGCACCACCACCCCGGCGAGUCCUUAUUACCAGGCUUUGACUGUCUUCAUCCUGGAAAUGAAUCUCUAUUUUUGACUUAAAUAAAUGAUUGCCUAUAAAAUUAUCUUGAAUGUUACUAUAGCUAUUACACUUCUCCAGACCUUGACAAUAUUGAUGAGUAAAGAAAGUUUAAAGGAUCAGCUAAAUAACUGCAAAAUUAAAAAAAAAAAGGUUUACAUUUUAUCAUCUGUCAUUUCAUGGAAAAUAACAGGUUUCCUGACAUACUUUUACAUGUUAGCACAGUCACAAAUUCCUGUUAGGUGGUCUUUACGUGGCUUUGGAGUCCUACCAACUUUUCACUCAUGUGUUUUUGACUUGGCCAUUAUGGAAAUCACGUUGUGUUUGAGUCUGGAAAUUAUUUUAUAGACCUUGUUUUUAUAUUUGAUCAUGCCUCUAUUAAGCCAUAUAAAAGUAUCUUGUUGCAUGUAACUGCCAGAUGCACCACCUGGGAUUCCAACUGUGAUAAAGGAGAGAAUGGGAUUUCAAAGAGAAGGAAAUUUUGAGAGUAGGAGUGGGAGGAAGGAAGCGUGAACAUAUUUUUUAAUGUGCGAGUAAUUUUUUUUGUAACAAAGAGAAAUGAACUAUUCUGGUAUGAUGAAACAAGAAUUCUCAUUCAAGUAAUAUGUGAGUGAAUUAACCCAUUUACAAUUUGUGGUUUCUUUACUACUAAUAAAUGUGAAUCUCAAUUAUA